GACGAACGCUGGCGGCGUGCUUAACACAUGCAAGUCGUACGGUAAGGCCCUUUCGGGGGUACACGAGUGGCGAACGGGUGAGUAACACGUGAGUAACCUGCCCACAACUUUGGGAUAACGCUAGGAAACUGGUGCUAAUACUGGAUAUGUGCUCCUGCUGCAUGGUGGGGGUUGGAAAGCUCCGGCGGUUGUGGAUGGACUCGCGGCCUAUCAGCUUGUUGGUGGGGUAGUGGCCUACCAAGGCGGCGACGGGUAGCCGGCCUGAGAGGGUGACCGGCCACAUUGGGACUGAGAUACGGCCCAGACUCCUACGGGAGGCAGCAGUGGGGAAUAUUGCACAAUGGGCGCAAGACUGAUGCAGCAACGCCGCGUGCGGGAUGACGGCCUUCGGGUUGUAAACCGCUUUCAGCAGGGACGAAGCUUUUUGUGACGGUACCUGCAGAAGAAGCACCGGCUAACUACGUG
rnacentral:rRNA from 1 species